UACGUAGGGGGCAAGCGUUGUCCGGAAUCAUUGGGCGUAAAGAGCGUGUAGGCGGCCAGAUAAGUCCGCUGUGAAAACUCGAGGCUCAACUUCGAGCUGUCGGCGGAAACUAUCUGGCUAGAGUCCGGAAGAGGAGAGUGGAAUUCCUGGUGUAGCGGUGAAAUGCGCAGAUAUCAGGAAGAACACCCGUGGCGAAGGCUGCUCUCUGGGACGGUACUGACGCUGAGACGCGAAAGCGUGGGGAGCGAACAGG
rnacentral:rRNA from 1 species